rnacentral:lncRNA from 1 species
CCCCCCCCGGCCGGGUGGGAACCGCAGCGCCGCCAACGGGGCUCAGCGCGGCCCGGCGCUGCCGUUCAUCGCCAUUCCGGCCAUUCAUCGCUCCGCUCAUCCGCUUCGUCCCUUCAUUCAUCCCUUCCCGUCCAUCCAUUCAUCUUUUCCCGUCCUUUCGUUCAUCCCUUCCCACCCAUUCAUUCAUCCUUUCCCGUCCCUUCAUUCAUCCCUUCCCAUCUGUUCAUUCAUCCCUUCUGUCCGUUCAUCCACUUCGUCCGUUCAUUUAUCUUUUCCCGUCCGUUCAUUCAUCCUUUCCCAUCCGUUUAUUCAUCUUUUCCCAUCCCUUCAUUCAUCCCUUCCCAUCUGUUCAUUCAUCCCUUCGCUCCCGUUCAUUCACAUUUUCCCAUCCAUUCAUCCCUUCCCAUCCCUUCAUUCAUCCUUUCCCAUCUUUUCAUUCAUCCUUUCCCAUCUUUUCAUUCAUCCUUUCCCGUCCAUUCAUUCAUAUUUUCCAGUCCAUUCAUCCCUUCCCAUCCUUUCAUUCAUCUUUUCCCGCACCUUCAUUCAUCUUUUCCCACCCGUUCAUUCAUAUUUUCCCUUCCAUUCAUUCAUCCUUUCCCAUCCGUUCAUUCAUCCUUUCCCAUCCGUUCAUUCAUCCUUUCCCAUCCGUUCAUUCAUCUUUUCCCAUCUUUUCAUUCAUCUUUUCCCACCCGUUCAUUCAUCUUUUCCCUUCCAUUCAUUCAUCUUUUCCCAUCCAUUCAUUCAUCUUUUCCCACCCGUUCAUUCAUCUUUUCCCAUCUUUUCAUUCAUCCUUUCCCAUCCGUUCAUUCAUCCCUUCUCAUCUUUUCAUUCAUUCCUUCCCUUCCAUUCAUUCAUCCCUUCCCAUCCCUUCGCUCUCGUUCCCAUUUGUUGACGCUGCGGUCGCAGCCCCCUUCCCCUCCCCCCCCCUUCAUGUCCCCCCACGUGGGGGUGGGGGCCGUUAUGGGGCACAGAUCUAUGGGGCAGGGUUUGGGUGGGGAUCGUUAUGGGG